rfam:Picoides pubescens contig57196, whole genome shotgun sequence.
GUCAGGAUGGCCGAGUGGUCUAAGGCGCCAGACUCAAGGCUUGGAGCUCCUUCCUGGAUCUGGGAAUUCUGGUCUCCGUGUGGAGGCGUGGGUUCAAAUCCCACUCCUGACA